AGAGUUUGAUCCUGGCUCAGAUUGAACGCUGGCGGCAUGCCUAACACAUGUAAGUCGAACGGUAACGCGAGGAGCUUGCUCCUUGGCGACGAGUGGCGGACGGGUGAGUAACGCGUGGGAAUCUACCUCGUAGCGGGGGAUAACGUACCGAAAGGUUCGCUAAUACCGCAUACGCUCUUUUGAGGAAAGUCGGGGAUCUUCGGACCUGACACUAUGAGAUGAGCCCGCGUUGGAUUAGCUAGUUGGUGGGGUAAAGGCCUACCAAGGCGACGAUCCAUAGCUGGUCUGAGAGGAUGAUCAGCCACAUCGGGACUGAGACACGGCCCGAACUCCUACGGGAGGCAGCAGUGGGGAAUAUUGGACAAUGGGGGCAACCCUGAUCCAGCAAUGCCGCGUGUGUGAAGAAGGCCUGCGGGUUGUAAAGCACUUUUCUGAAGGAAGAAAAAUUGUUGGUUAAUACCCAGCGAUCCUGACGGUAUUUCAGGAAUAAGCACCGGCUAACUCCGUGCCAGCAGCCGCGGUAAUACGGAGGGUGCAAGCGUUAAUCGGAAUUACUGGGCGUAAAGGGUACGUAGGCGGUUUACUAAGUCGGAUGUGAAAGCCCCGGGCUUAACCUGGGAAUUGC
rnacentral:rRNA from 1 species